rnacentral:rRNA from 1 species
GGCCAGACUCCUACGGGAGGCAGCAGUGGGGGAUAUUGCACAAUGGGGGGAACCCUGAUGCAGCGACGCCGCGUGGGUGAAGGAGUGCUUCGGCAUGUAAAGCCCUAUCGGCAGGGAAGAAGCAAGACGGUACCUGGCUAAGAAGCCCCGGCUAACUACGUGCCAGCAGCCGCGGGAAUACGUAGGGGGCGAGCGUUAUCCGGAUUCACUGGGUGUAAAGGGAGCGUAGACGGCCAUGCAAGCCAGGGGUGAAAGCCCGGGGCCCAACCCCGGGACUGCAUUGGAAACUGCGAGGCUGGAGUGUCGGAGAGGCAGGCGGAAUUCCUAGUGUAGCGGUGAAAUGCGUAGAUAUUAGGAGGAACACCAGUGGCGAAGGCGGCCUGCUGGACGAUGACUGACGCUGAGGCUCGAAAGCGUGGGGAGCAAGCAGGAUUAGAUACCCGCGUA